rnacentral:sRNA from 1 species
GCCAGGUAUGAUGGCAUGUGCCUAUUUCCCAGCUACUUGGGAGGUUGAGACAGGAGGAUCCCUUGAGCUCAGGAGUCUGAGGGCAGCCUGGGCAACAUAGGGAGAUUCCGUCUCAA